rnacentral:rRNA from 1 species
AGUGAACGCUGGCGGUAGGCCUAACACAUGCAAGUCGAACGGCAGCACAGUAAGAGCUUGCUCUUACGGGUGGCGAGUGGCGGACGGGUGAGGAAUACAUCGGAAUCUACUCUUUCGUGGGGGAUAACGUAGGGAAACUUACGCUAAUACCGCAUACGCCCUACGGGUGAAAGCAGGGGAUCUUCGGACCUUGCGCGAUUGAAUGAGCCGAUGUCGGAUUAGCUAGUUGGCGGGGUAAAGGCCCACCAAGGCGACGAUCCGUAGCUGGUCUGAGAGGAUGAUCAGCCACACUGGAACUGAGACGCGGUCCAGACUCCUACGGGAGGCAGCAGUGGGGAAUAUUGGACAAUGGGCGCAAGCCUGAUCCAGCCAUACCGCGUGGGUGAAGAAGGCCUUCGGGUUGUAAAGCCCUUUUGUUGGGAAAGAAAAGCAGCAGGUUAAUACCCCGCUGUUCUGACGGUACCCAAAGAAUAAGCACCGGCUAACUUCGUG